GACAGAGGGUGCAAACGUUGUUCGGAAUUACUGGGCGUAAAGCGUGUGUAGGCGGCCAUGUAAGUCGGAUGUGAAAGCCCCAGGCUCAACCUGGGAAGUGCACUCGAUACUGCGUGGCUUGAGUAUCGGAGAGGUUGGUGGAAUUCUCGGUGUAGAGGUGAAAUUCGUAGAUAUCGAGAGGAACACCGGUGGACGAAGGCGGCCAACUGGACGAAUACUGACGCUGAGACACGAAAGCGUGGGGAGCAAACAGG
rnacentral:rRNA from 1 species